UACGGAAGGUCCGGGCGUUAUCCGGAUUUAUUGGGUUUAAAGGGAGCGCAGGCCGGCUUUUAAGCGUGACGUGAAAUGUAGACGCUCAACGUCUGAAUUGCGUCGCGAACUGGAGGCCUUGAGUGCAUUCGACGUCAGCGGAAUUCGUGGUGUAGCGGUGAAAUGCUUAGAUAUCACGAAGAACUCCGAUUGCGAAGGCAGCUGACGAGACUGUAACUGACGCUAAAGCUCGAAAGUGCGGGUAUCGAAC
rnacentral:rRNA from 1 species